GAUGAAGAACGUAGCGAAAUGCGAUAAGUAAUGUGAAUUGCAGAAUUCAGUGAAUCAUCGAAUCUUUGAACGCACAUUGCGCCCGCCAGUAUUCUGGCGGGCAUGCCUGUUCGAGCGUCAUUUCAACCAUCAAGCCCCAGGCUUGUGUUGGAGCCCUGCGGCUGCCGCAGCCUCCCAAAACCAGUGGCGGGCUCGCUAUCACACCGAGUGCAGUAGUUUACUCUUCGCUCAGGGCGUGUGGCGGGUGCUAGCCGUAAAACCCCCAACUUCUCAAGGUUGACCUCGGAUCAGGUAGGAAUACCCGCUGAACUUAAGCAUAUCAAGCGGAGGA
rnacentral:misc_RNA from 1 species